UGGGGCUGGGACACGACUCCUGGGUUCCUUCUCUCCUCAUUCCCAGGUCUCUACAUGGUGCAGGUGGUUUCCAGCUGUGACCUCCUGUCGAACGGAGAAUCCAUGGGUCCCAUGGUGCGGCUAUGACGGGUGGGAUUUCAUCUCCUUCCAGCUGCGAUCCAGGAGCUUUGCAGUGUCUGAUGGUUCAACUGGAUCACCCAGAGGUGCUGGGAAUCCAAAGUGAUCAUGGUGGAGCAGAUGAAGCUUUACCUGGGACACACCUGUGUGAAAGAGCUCCCAAAAUACAUCAGAUAUGGUUGGGAUGCUGUGGAGCACAAAGCUGUUUCAGUUUUCCAGGAAUCUUCUCCACAGUCCUGUCUGCUCUUUUCAAGAACCUUUCGUGGAGAAGGAGAUGCAGCUUCUAUCACAAGAUGUGCCACUAACUGCAGCUUGUCUUGGCUUUCCACACCAUGUGUGCAGCACAACUCUUGCAGCAAAGCAAGAUAAAUGUAUGGAGAACUUUACAACUUGUUCUUUUUUUUCCUUGUGGACCGGGGACUUGUGCCAUUGGCCAUUUUCAUCCCCGACGCCUCAUGAAAUGAGAAGCCUGAGCUUGUGGAACUGCCUGAAAGAUGCCCUGUUCCUCUGCAGGGACACUCAGUCUGAAACAGGAGUCUGAGCUCUCUCUGGGGAAGCCUUCUACGAGCUGGAAUUUGUUUCACGCUGGGAGAGAAGGAGGUGAGGGAGAAUGAUGGGUGCUGUGUGGCAGGAGGCAAUUUCUGUGAUGGCCCCUGUCAGUUGAUUCUAUUUCAGCAGCAGCAACAGGGCUGUGUUUGAGUGCUGCAGAUGUUUGCCUGUGUGGCUUUAAUUCUCCUCUACUUUGUGCUCCGGGACUUGUGAACAUUUGGGGAUCUGCUACUCAUGAUG